AAACUAUCCCCUAAGUUUUGCAUAUGUGGCAGUUUUGGCCCCCAAGGCCAAUUUUUGGUAAAAUAAUAAUAAUAAUAAUAAUUAUAACAUGUGGCACCUCACUUAGGGUGUCACGUCAGCAUAAACCAAGUCAAAAUUGGCUUUGGGGGUCAAAACUGCCACAUAUGCAAAACUUAGGGGACAGUUU
rnacentral:pre_miRNA from 1 species